CAGAAACAUUUGAAAAUUACCCCAUAUCACACAACUGGUAAACCCAAGAUUUGAACCCAUGUUUUAACUACUAGGGCUUCUCUGCUAUGACCUGCCCUUAAGACAGAAGCAGGACGUACGACGUGCAGGGGAUGGGUUGGGGACAUUGGACCCUACUCUCUAAAAGGGCAGCUCAGCUGGCGAGCAGGCCCCCUUGAUCCUGUGUGACCCCUACAGAUACACCCCCCGGAACCCAGUAGGGCAUUACGGAUAAACCUGCUAACAAUGUGGGCUACGAAAAGAAUGCGAGUGACAAGAAUAAUAUACCACAGGGUGGUCGCUGUCAGUUUUCAAUACUUGAAUGAAUAUUAAUGAAGUGUCGAGGGCAAGGCCGUUUGCUAGGUCACUUAGGGGAUAAUAAAAUUAGCAUAUGGAUAAUAGUUGCCAAAGCACAUUGGUAUGGGAACUACUUAAUUCUCACAUCCGUGCUGUGAAAUAGGCAUUAUUACUGUCUUCCAGUUCUAGACUCAGGACGGAGGGUCAGAGGGAUUAAGUUGUGUGGGCAAGAUUUUGUGGUUGAUUCAGACCUGAGUCUGGCUGCAAAAACAAGCGCACGUCUUCUGGUUCCACUCCCUGGACUCCUUUCCCUGUGCCUGCUCCUUCCCCCAGAUUAUGGAGGCUGACAUAUACGUAAAUAAAUAUAACACGACAUAAAAGAGGUAAGUGCACGUAAAGUGCAGAGAGAACACCCAGCUGGAGGGAUCGAGAAGGUUUCGUAGAGGCUUCUGUUAACCCGAAUAUACUCAAGUUCACCUUCAACCAAAUCCUUAAGUGACAAGUCAAAUGAAGAGGAACCUAUAGUCUGGAAAGGUUGAGGAGAUGUGCCGAAAUACUUCACCAGUCGCUGUAACCGUCUGCAAGCCAAUGCAAGAUUCUCAAAGCCAGAAACCACGCCCAGCCAACUCAAUGAGGCGUGUGCUUGGCUCACAAUGGGUGCUGGGUGAAGACUUGUUAAAUUUUAUUGAAAAUGAUUUCAACCUAAAUAAACACCGGUGAGGAAGAGAAGGAAGCACAGACAGUUGCUCUGACUUGUCCUUUGAUUCAUUAGCGAUGGCAUAACUGACCCCAAUUGGGGAGGAGGGUGUGUAGGAAGGGGAUAAAAAAGUGCCUACACAAAGAGCAGCUUUUACUUUCAGGGAGGCUGUGAAACUUGGGUUCAUAGUAGGAGGCUAUUAUUAACAGAGAAACACCCUGAGUACAAAGAAGAAGGAUUUACUUUCAGGGAGACAGGCACUCUAAUAGGGCGCUCUUUGUGCUUCCUUGCCAGCGAUCCCUUUCAGCAGCUGCAAAUCUCUGCAGAGUACCACUGUCAAAAAGGAUGACUCCGCUGCCUUCUUGAGGUAUCGGACUUCAUCUAAAACCAGAAACAAAACCCAAUGGUUCUUUGGGCCAACUUGUCCAGCUGCACAGCUAUCCCUCUAUCUUUUAUCUCCAGGCUUGGAAUCUAUCCAUCAGCAACAGUUACACUAUUCCUACGUGUCUGUGCCUUCUCCUGUCUGUUUUAAAAGUUGAUCUCCUUUCUCCUGGAAAUCCACAACAUCAGCCAGACAUCCCUCCUUGGGGCCAUCUCCCUGCCUUUGGGUAGAUUCAUACAUCUCUUCGUUCCUAAGCCAGUACUGAUUGAGUACCUGGGUGCUGAGGACGCCGUGCCGAACAGGACAGCUGAGAAAGCAGAUUGUGAAUGAGAAAACAGACGUCUCCGGGCCUGGACGGCCCAGCUCUCCUCCCGUUGUCGUGAUCAUGCCUCGCAGGCUCGAGGCCUUGUUACUUCAUCCACGGGAAACUUCAGUGUGUCCCCUUGGAAACAGAGAGACUAGCCCGUGGAGCCCUGCGGUAAGAACGCACAUCGUUGCUUUGAUUGAAUGCUUGUGCUCACACACGAUCAUCCAUGUUCAGUUAGUGGCACUCAUAGUGGUAAUGCUUACUGAGCACUUUCUGUGUAUGAGGCCCUGCUCCACGUACAUUAACUUCUUUAAUCCCCACCACAGCCCCUUUUCCUCGCUUGGCAAAUGGAGUAACCAAGGCACGGAGGACUUAAGGACGUGGUGGAGACCUUAUGUUAUUUUGAAACUCAAGGAACUAGAAUAAGUCACCUUUGAACCAACCAGGUUAAGAAUGACCAAGGGGGAUUGCAAAAAAGAAUGCUUAGCUGACCAAUGACAACAAGAUGUUUAACUGGCUGAAGGAUAGCAGCAUCUGACAAACCAACCUGGGGGAGAAGAGUGGGGGCCGAAAAGCUGGCACUGCCGCACUUCUGGCUGCGGCUGGGGCUUUCGUCCGCAGCGCUAGCAGGGUUUUAUAAGCAUUACCUCAUCGACCUUCCCAACAGCUCCAGCAAGGCCUGAGUGGUCUGAGGCCACGUGUGGAGCUGGAGCAGCCGAAACACAGGGAGGCCCCGAAACCUCCCAGUAGGGCACCGUCUUCAGUCAGUGUCUACAUCCGACCGUGAAGUCUGGCCCUCCGCUGCCCAGGGACAGCCCUCCCGUUGCCCAGACCCCUGCGACAUUGUCCUUUAUUUAUUCCCUGUGCAAACCUGAGUCUCCAGUAAUGAGCAAUGCUUCCCUCACCUUAGAAGCAUUGAAGGCAGGUAAGGAUGUGGGAGGAAACAGGAAGAACACCAGUCUGGGGGACUUCCCUGGUGGUCCAGGGGUUAGGACUCUCCACUUUCACUGUCAGGGCCCAGGUUCGAUCCCUGGUUGGGGAACUGAAAUCCCACAAGCUGUGUGGUAUGGCCAAAAAGCAGAAAACCAAACAAUACAAAAACACUGGUCUGGAAGUGAGGACCCUGGGAUCCAGUACCGUUGGGCCACAUGAUUUGGGAGAACACAUCUCUUCUCUGCUUUCCAAUUUCCACUUCUAUAAAACAAAGGAAGUGGAGUUAGGCAACUUCUAAGGUACUUCCAAUGCCAACAGUCCACAAUGGGAGGAUGACAUCUCUGUGAUUUACCAGAUCGUAACUGAAGGUUUAAUCCGUCGGCUGGUUAGCAUUCAAGAUUUACAUCUUUAGAGCAGAAGUUAACUUUUUUAUUUCCACAGAGCAUUUUGAUAGGAUAAUGCAAAAAGGCUAGAGGAGGUUACGGAGCAGGAGGUGGGGUCCUCCAGUGAAGGCAAGGACCAAAUCAAAGCUGGAAGAGACUUCCCUGGUGGUCCAGUGGGUAAGACUCCGCACUCCCAAUGCAGGGGGCAGGGGUCAUGGGGCACAGGGCAUGGUUCCCUCUCAUCCGCUCCCACUAUUCCACACUUUCUGAGCCCACAAGUGAAUGUGAGAAUCUUCCUAAACCUGAAUUUUGAUGAUUAAACAAAUAUCCACGACCAGCAAAUGAUUUCAGACCAUGUGUCCGGUACCGUCCUAGGCCUUCCACAUGCUGCAUCUUAUUGAAUGGAAUAAUAAGAUAGCAUGUAAUGGAGGUAUUAAUCGCAUUUUACAGCUGGAAAAUGGAGGCCCGGAGACAGUAAGAGAAUUCCUCAAGGUUUCGUGAGGAGAAGAGCAGGGAGACACAACUUCACGGCUCCUGAUUUCAGGGCAGGAAUCUCUCCAUCCCCGCACGCCUGCUGCCUGGCUCCUCCUGGCUUCCUAGACGUGGUCUAAACGUUUGCCUUGGUUCUGAGGAGCCUCUGCAGAAUGGCCCCUGUAUGUUUGUAUUUUCCCAGUACUCUCCAGUGCAUAUCAGGCAGAUUACUCUCAAGACCUAUGUAACGCUUUCCCGGGUCUAUUGGUUUGGAUGAUUUUUCUAACCUCCGUCUGUAACGCUCUCCACCAGACCGCCAUGAGCUAUUGAAAUCCUUGCGUCUUUCAAUAUCUGCCUCAAAUGCUACCUCCUCCAUGAAGCCUUCCCUGCCCCACCCUUAGCUUCCCUGUUUGAUUUCUGCCCUUUUAUGGUAAGUUUUGUCUUGAAUUAUAAUCCUUUCUGUGCACCAUAAGAGAAGAGACAAUCUUAUUCCACUUUGUGACCUCCACCAGUGCCUGAUAUAUAAUAGACCACAGGAAGUAUUUGCUGAAUAGAAGAAAGAAUCAGUGAAUUAACAGAUCAGAGAACUGCAGCUUCCUGUUUAGUUUCUUCUGUUGUUGAUUUAAAGGUUCUGGAUAAAACUGGAAGAGGAAAAUUACAGCUUGAGCUUGAGCACUUGAAAAGGCAGACGCUUGUGGCAUCCAAAAUGAUAUUCCUUGUGAACAUGGGUGACUCGACCGUAUUUUUGCCACGUGAGAAACACUUGACGAUUAGGGUCUUCAGAAUGAAAGGCUGGAGCUGAAAAGCAAGGAAAAGCAAUCAAAUCCGUGGGUUAAAAGUGUGCAGAAAUCGUCCUCCAUGAUUCCCAAAUGAAGGAAGUGUCCCUGAAAACAGAAGAAGCACUCCAGUGCUUUAGUGAUUUUCAUCAUGAAUUGGAUAAAACACUGAUGGGUGACAACGUGUGAGAAUGCAGUGUUUCCGUAUAGCACACCAGAGAACGGAGUGGGCCCCCUUGCCAGCCCAGGGACAGCAAGUGACACGGUGGUUUAAAAUGUGCCCACAAAUCCUUCUUCGGGUGAUGUUCCCUUCAAAAGAUGGAACAGGAUCCCCGUCCCUCGAGAUUCCCUUCCCUGCUGGAAGAGAGCAGGGAAGACCUGCAGGGGCAGUGUCCAUCGCCCAGUCCCUGGAGACCGGGUCGCGAAAGGCACGGCAGCUUCCUGCUCCCUCUCUGAUCACUUGCUCCUGGAAACCCCGCUGCCACCUCAUAAGGACACAUGCGGUUUCUGGAGAGGCCCACUCCGUGGAGACCUGAGGCCGUCCGGCAGCAGCCCAGUGUGGGCACCACCUUGACAGCGGAGCCUCUGGUCCCCGGCGCCCAGCAAGCCAUCGGGAGGGGCCGCCAGCCCCCUGGGAGGCUGAGCCACAGGGACUCAGCCAGACUGCUCCCGGAUCGCUGGCCCUCAGAGACUGUGUACCAUAGUUUUGGGUGAAUUUGUUCUCAGCGGUCGUGACGGGGAGGUGACAGAGGUUGGGAGGAGGGGUCAUAGAGGAGGUGGCACCCGGGCAGUGGUUUGCUGCCCAUUUGUUCUCAGCAGUCGUGACGGGGAGGUGACAGAGGUUGGGAGGAGGGGUCCUAGAGGAGGUGGCACCCGGGCAGUGGUUUGCUGCCCAUCAGGGAUGCUACAGCUGAUGUCUCUCUCUACUGCCCUGCCACCCCUCAACCCCCUCUCCUUUCAGCCUCACCUCCCUGCCUUCCGGUCCUUACCUUUCUUUCCCUCCCCGUCACUCUCUCCCCGUCCUUUCCUCCUCCCAAUCACACAGCCAUAGGAAGGGUCGUAUAAACCAUUCUUGACUUUUGGUAAGAAUACACUUUGAUGAUCAUGUCUCACCCCCACUGAAAACAUUCACUUCCACGUACGGACUCCUAUGGGAUGGAGAGGUGCUCCACCCCCCUUCCAUCUUCCUACCACGUUCUUCACUCUGUGCCCACGGGGGAUGUGCAACACAGGAUUUCAAAGGAACAGUUUGGGAAACAAGUACUUUAUUUAUAGCUCAGGGGUUGUUUAAAAUUAACUGUAAUACAAGGGUGAGUCAAAAAUUAUCUGUACUCUGGCUGUAGAAUUCAUUUUAAUGAACUUUCAGAAAAGACAAAUACAUCAUUUUUCAACAUAAUCUUCUUGCUUUUCAAUACACUUUAUCCAUCUGUCAACAAGCUUUCGUAUUCCCUCAUUAAAAAAAUGUUUCAGGCUGAGCUGCGAGCCACAAGUGCACCACUGUCUUCAUCAGAAGUGAAUCUUCAUCCUCGUAGGGCUGCUUUCAGGGGACCAAACAGGUGAAAGUCUGAUGGAGCAAGAUCAGGACUGUAGGGAGAAUGCUUUAACACCUUGAAAUGAAGUAAUCCACAACAGACUUAGGUUUUGAAAAGUUUGUGCAAGAUGGGUACUGAAACAACUCACGGAAGAGCGUAAACAGAAGCGUUUGGAUAUCUGCAAACAAAAUUUGGACCGAUACUCUAAGGAAGGUGGAAGUUUCUUAAAGAGAAUCAUUACUGGUAACGAGACCUGGUUUCAUCACUACGAGCCUGAGAGUAAACAGCAGAGUAUGGAAGGGAAACAUCCUCAGUUGCUGACCAGGAAAAGUUCAAAAGUCAACCAUCAGCUGGAAAACUGAUGCUUACAGUUUUCUGGGAUUCUCAAGGGCCAGUAUUGGAACAUUAUCAGAAUAAAGGUUCAGUGAUCAACAGUGCUUGUUACAGUGCGAUGCUUAUUGAAGAGCUGAAGCCCAAACUUUGAAUUAAACGCAGAGAACUGCCAUCCAAAAGUGUUGUGAUCUUGCAUGACAAUGCAUGUCCACACACUUCUGCCCACACUGUCGACACUCUGCAAAAACUUCGUUUUGAGGUGUUAAAGCAUCCUCCCUAUAGUCCUGAUCUUGCUCCAUUGGACUUUCACCUGUUUGGUCCCCUGAAAGCAGCCCUACAAGGACAAAGAUUCACUUCUGAUGAAGAAAUGAAGAUAGCAGUGCACUUGUGGCUCGCAGCUCAGCCGAAAACAUUUUUUAAUGAGGGCAUACGAAAGCUUGUUGACAAGUGGAUAAAGUGUAUUGAAAAGCAAGGAGAUUAUGUCAAAAGAUGAUGUAUUUGUUUUUUCUGAAAGUUCAUUAAAAUGAAUUCUACUGCCAGAGUGAGGAUAAUUUUUGACUCACUCUUGUGGAAAAAUGGGGAUCUUAAAUAGUCAGGUUAGAUACUCGUUUUUUUAAAAAAUAUAAAUUUAGUUAUCUGUUUUUAAAAAUUUUUGUCUGCAUUGGGUCUUCGUUACUGCAUGCAGACUUUCUUUAGUUGUGGAGAGCAGGGGCAACUCUUUGUUGCAGUGUGAGGGCUUCUCAUUGUGGUGGCCUCUCUUGUUGCAGAGCACAGGCUCUAGGUUCACGGGCUUCAGUAGUUGUAGCGUGCAGCCUCAAUAGUUGUGGCAUAUGGGCUUAGUUGCUCUGUGGCAUGUGGGCUCUUUCUGGACCAGGGCUGGAACCCAUGUCCCCUGCACUGGCAGGCGGACUCUUAACCACUGCUCCACCAGGGAAGUCCCAAUAAUCAGGUUUUCAAUGUGUUUACUCCCGUCAUUCAUAUAAAUAAACCAUUUUAAUUGCCUCUUCAUUUUUUUAAACAGGUCUCUUGACCAAUAUUCCCUGGGGUCCAUCAGCUGCAAUAUGUUUUGUGUCUUGAGGUAAUUUCUUUCCUUGGAUAAACUGUUUUCUACCAGGCACUUCCAACUAAACAUCCAAAAGGAUAGUAUGUCAUUUUACAGAAUAAUUGUAUGUAAUAAAACAAUAAAGCCUCAAAAUAAUGAUGUGUUAUAGCAGGACCUCAUUACACAGAACUAUGUCUCCUGAAACAUAAUAACAAACACAGUAAGCGUUUGAACUAUGCUCGUCUGUAAGUCGCACACCAGCCUGGCACCCAGGCCCAAACAAAAUUCCAGCGUAAGAAAAGAGGAUCAUUGCCGUAAUUUUAAAUCUCCUGAUGAAGGUUAGAAGCAGCGUUCAAUUUAGAAAAAUCACUCAGCAUUGCUUCAGCUGAUGAAAUGCUGGAAUAACAAUGGUAAUUCCAAGGACUACGUUGUGUUGCUUUAAACAUUCCGAGGGGACUAGAGAAAAAUGCUGAGUAAAACAAGGAAGGGAACAGUCCAGCCUGGUGGAAAGAUGGACCGAGUGGCCGCAGAGGCCUUGUUCAACCCUUGAAUUCCGUGACACUUCAGUGGCUCCUCACAAUUGCAUGAAAGUUAAUAAGAAUGGUUUUGUCAUACUCUUUUUUAAAAAAAUCUAUUAAUUAUUGUAGUUUAGAACAACAUUAUAUGGUCUUUACUACAAGGUGUUUUUUUAAACUGAUUCAGUAGGAUCCCAGGUCCUUUUUUGCAGAGGAAAUUCUCUAAAAGAAAACAAAUUACUCACACUUUUCCCAGGCAAAUAUUUUCGUUCUUUCUAGAACCCAAAUGGAACUAAAACUUCAUUAUGUAACAAAUACUUGCCAAGAGGAUGAUUGGGUUUUGAUCAAAGGUCUUAUUGAAACACACACUCUGCUAAUUGCAUCCUUUCCCAAAACUUCUUAAAAUAAAAAGUGAGAACACAGCUAACGAAGGGAGAUCUCUUGGAGCAAAGUUGUGUGAUGAAGAAAGUGUUCCAGCCAAGUUACACAUCUCAGCAGAGGCAGGUUUGAGUGGCAAGUGCUGGGCAGGACGGAACCCUAAGUGCAGCAGAGCCCCAAGAACAAAGAAGCAUUCAGGAGACACCCCACGACUCCACGCUCCAGUCUCUCACUGCUAAACACGAGGCUGCUGGAGCUGUUAGUGCAGUUUGUCCGGAAAACUCACGGGCAUGGAAAGAAACACAUGAAAGUGUACCUGGCAUCUGCCAGUUCACUGCACUUCUA